rnacentral:ribozyme from 16 species
AAGAAAAAAAAAGAAGCUAGACAAGCCUUUUUUAUUUCUUUUCUUUUUUUUUUUUGUAUUUUUUUGCUGCAGAAUAACGAAUCAAAUAAAGUCCCAGAGUCAUGUACGUGUUCCGAAGCGGAGAUAGACCAAAUACAAAUACGAUCAUAGACAACUACUAGAACUAAUGUCGCCAGAGCGUCUAGAAAUCGUACUUCAAUCAUCAUCAAAAUCAUCUAAAUCGUCUAUUAAGGCGUCGUUAGCUUCCGCUGUUGUAGCAGUCGCCGCAGGUUUCGAAGAAGCAAUGCCAAUGCUUUUUUUCGAGAGAUCUUGCUGCUGUUCCUUUG